rnacentral:lncRNA from 1 species
GCGAGAGGAGGGCAGAGAUGUGGACCCACACAGAGGCCACGCCGGGGCUGAGCAAGGACGGCCCCGGAUAGGGCGGGCUUAGAGAGGGGCACGGAGGCUGGACCCUGGCCUUGAAGGAGCCCCUGCAAGGUGGGGGCUGCACUGGGGUUGUGGCAGGGGAACAUGUGGACCACAGAAAGCAUCACACCUGGGCUGGUGCUGGACAUCCCCAGCACCAACCACACCUUCUCAUCGCCAGGGCCUCCUGUUCAGGCUGCUUGGACUCUCAAGCUCUGUCUGCUUUGUUCCUACUUGGCAGAACUGGGCGCCUCUCAGCACUCACUUGGAGACGUGGGGUCGGAACUCUGGUGGCCUGGUGCCUCUCCCAGCCAGCACAGGACCUGGAUGAAUGAACACACACCCUUCCUUUCCCAGGCUCUGCCGUGUCUUCUGUCAAAGGUCCCUCCUGCUACCACCACGGAUGCCACCUAAUCCCUGCCCUCUUGAAGAGCUACUUCCCUCCUCCCUUCCUCCCCUGCCCAAGAUCUCCCUGCCCCUCAAGUCCUGGCUCCAGAGGGGAGUCAGGAGGCCCCCGGAAGAAAGCGUCUCCCUCCCGGCUCUCUGCUUGCCAUCACCCAGGAGGCCGACGUGGCCAGGGUGACUGCAGGACAGCUUGUGUCUUUGCAAGUCAAGGUGGGACAGCUUCGUCCCAAAGACCGAGACUACAGGACUUGACGCCGCAAUCCUCCAGGGUCGGAUGGACCCAGCGCAGAGGAGAUUCACGAUGGACUGCCCUCCCUCCCCCGCCCAUUCUCCACUAAACUAAGGAGCCCCUUUUCCCUGUUUUCCUGCUUUCCCAGGGAGGGGCUGAGCUGGGCAAGGGAUGAAACGCCCAGCACGGGAAUCCGACCCAGGCUCUCCGAGCCUUCGCACUGGGACAACUUUCUGGAAAGGGUAGGCAGACAGAAGGGUAGAGGGGACGUUGGAGGCUGCGCUAUCGGCAGCCUUGCUGGAACGCCCUGCUCCUAGGGGCCCCGAGAGAGCCUGCACAUACGGCCCAGGG